GACGAACGCUGGCGGCGUGCUUAACACAUGCAAGUCGAACGGAAAGGCCCUGCUUUUGUGGGGUGCUCGAGUGGCGAACGGGUGAGUAACACGUGAGUAACCUGCCCUUGACUUUGGGAUAACUUCAGGAAACUGGGGCUAAUACCGGAUAGGAGCUCCUGCUGCAUGGUGGGGGUUGGAAAGUUUCGGCGGUUGGGGAUGGACUCGCGGCUUAUCAGCUUGUUGGUGGGGUGGUGGCUUACUAAGGCUUUGACGGGUAGCCGGCCUGAGAGGGUGACCGGCCACAUUGGGUCUGAGAUACGGCCCAGACUCCUACGGGAGGCAGCAGUGGGGAAUAUUGCACAAUGGGCGGAAGCCUGAUGCAGCAACGCCGCGUGCGGGAUGACGGCCUUCGGGUUGUAAACCGCUUUCGCCUGUGACGAAGCGUGAGUGACGGUAAUGGGUAAAGAAGCACCGGCUAACUACGUG
rnacentral:rRNA from 1 species